GCAGAAGUAGUUCAGCGGUAGAAUACAACCUUGCCAAGGUUGGGGUCGCGGGUUCGAAUCC
rnacentral:tRNA from 3 species